rnacentral:lncRNA from 1 species
AUCCAUGUCUCUGCCUUUUUUCUUAUUUUUCUUUCAUGUCUUGUCUUCCCUACCAUUCGUACCCUCUGCUGUCAAAGUCUGAUGCUGACUGUGGUCAGGCCACUUAUUUAUCCUAAAAGCUUAUCAAUUUAUCAAUUUCCACAGAAUAGUGCUUAAUCUCAUAGUUAAAAAAUCCAAAUUCCUAAGUGAUCUGACCCCAAUUUGCCUUCCCAAUUCUAUUUUUCACCACUCUAUUUA